rnacentral:rRNA from 1 species
GAUGAACGCUGGCGGCGUGCAUAACACAUUCAAGUCGAACGAGGUAGCAAUACCUAGUGGCGGACGGGUGAGUAACGCGUGAGCAACCUGCCCUUGUGUGGGGGAUACCGUCUGGAAACGGACGUUAAUACCGCAUAAUAUAGCGGAAUCGCAUGGUUCUGCUAUCAAAGAUUUAUUGCGCAAGGAUGGGCUCGCGUUGGAUUAGAUAGUUGGUGAGGUAACGGCCCACCAAGUCUGCGAUCCAUAGCCGGACUGAGAGGUUGAACGGCCACAUUGGAACUGAGAUACGGUCCAG